GGCACCGUGGCUUAGUAGGUUAAAGUCCCUGUCUCAUAAACAUUAGAUCCUGGCUUCAAAUCCCAGCAGUGCCU
rnacentral:tRNA from 1 species